rnacentral:misc_RNA from 1 species
AACUUUCGGCAACGGAUCUCUUGGUUCUCGCAUCGAUGAAGAACGCAGCGAAAUGCGAUAAGUAAUGUGAAUUGCAGAAUUCAGUAAAUCAUCGAAUCUUUGAACGCACCUUGCGCCCUUUGGCCAUUCCGAAGGGCAUGCCUGUUUGAGUAUCAUGAACACCUCAACUCCUCAUGGUUUGCCAUGAUGGGCUUGGACUUUGGGGGCUUGCUGGCCACUAUGGUCGGCUCCUCUCAAACGAAUCAGCUUGCCAGUGUUUGGUGGCGUCACAGGUGUGAUAACUAUCUACGCUUGUGGUCUCCCCACCAGGUAACCUUCAGCGAUGGGGGUUCACUGGGGCUCAUAAACGUCUCUCCUCUGUGAGAGACAGCUUUUGAACGUUUGAUCUCAAAUCAGGUAGGACUACCCGCUGAACUUAAGCAUAUCAAUAAGCGGAGGCU